CCUACGGGGGGCAGCAGUGAGGAAUAUUGGUCAAUGGGCGCGAGCCUGAACCAGCCAAGUCGCGUGAAGGAUGACUGCCCUACGGUUUGUAAACUUCUUUUAUAUAGGAAUAAAGUGAGGCACGUGUGCCUUUUUGUAUGUACUUUAUGAAUAAGGAUCGGCUAACUCCGUGCCAGCAGCCGCGGUAAUACGGAGGAUCCGAGCGUUAUCCGGAUUUAUUGGGUUUAAAGGGAGCGUAGGUGGGUUAUUAAGUCAGUGGUGAAAGUUUGCGGCUCAACCGUAAAAUUGCAAUUGAUACUGGUAGACUUGAGUACAGUUGAGGUAGGCGGAAUGCGUGGUGUAGCGGUGAAAUGCAUAGAUAUCACGAAGAACUCCGAUUGCGAAGGCAGCUUACUAAACUGCCACUGACACUGAUGCACGAAAGUGUGGGGAUCAAACAGGAUUAGAUACCCCUGUAGUC
rnacentral:rRNA from 1 species